AUCGCUUCUCGGCCUUUUGGCUAGGAUCAAGUGUAGUAUCUGUUCUUAUCAGAAAAAUAAUUGCCAGAUAUUUCAUCACUGCCCAUCCCUUUGGAUUGAUGCAUUGGCUCAUGCAUCUAAAUUACUUUCAGUCGAGGCUUUUCCUCUGCAAUUAUUGAUACAAUUGAGAUAAUUGAAAACUU